rnacentral:rRNA from 1 species
AGUGAACGCUGGCGGUAGGCCUAACACAUGCAAGUCGAACGGCAGCACAGUAAGAGCUUGCUCUUACGGGUGGCGAGUGGCGGACGGGUGAGGAAUACAUCGGAAUCUACUUUUUCGUGGGGGAUAACGUAGGGAAACUUACGCUAAUACCGCAUACGACCUACGGGUGAAAGCAGGGGAUCUUCGGACCUUGCGCGAUUGAAUGAGCCGAUGUCGGAUUAGCUAGUUGGCGGGGUAAAGGCCCACCAAGGCGACGAUCCGUAGCUGGUCUGAGAGGAUGAUCAGCCACACUGGAACUGAGACACGGUCCAGACUCCUGCGGGAGGCAGCAGUGGGGAAUAUUGGACAAUGGGCGCAAGCCUGAUCCAGCCAUACCGCGUGGGUGAAGGAGGCCUUCGGGUUGUAAAGCCCUUUUGUUGGGAAAGAAAAGCAGCAGGUUAAUACCCCGCUGUUCUGACGGUACCCAAAGAAUAAGCACCGGCUAACUUCGUG